ACAUCUGAGUGAACUAACUCAAAUGACACUAGACUUUUAUGAUCAACAGAGUAUAAACUUAAUCUAGACAAUUUUCCUAAAAGACACGAUUGACAGGGAAUUGUAGAAGAUAAGCUCGAACUUGAUAGAUUAUGAGACCUGAUAAUAGAGGAAACCACACGGUGAUGAGGAUGUCCAAACUUAGAGUGUCAAUCAUCAAAACUUGAAAUGGUGUUAACAUUUGCUUGCUUCUUUGGUGGAUGUAGUACAUAGAUUUUGUCUUCAC
rnacentral:lncRNA from 1 species